GACGAACGCUGGCGGCGUGCUUAACACAUGCAAGUCGAACGGAGACCCUCGGAGCCUGCUUCGGGGUGAACAGUGGCGAACGGGUGAGUAACACGUGAGUAACCUGCCCCUGACUCCGGAAUAAGCGCUGGAAACGGCGUCUAAUACCGGAUACGACACGCCUCCGCAUGGGGAGCGUGUGGAAAGUUUUUCGGUCUGGGAUGGACUCGCGGCCCAUCAGCUUGUUGGUGAGGUAAUGGCUCACCAAGGCGAUGACGGGUAGCCGGCCUGAGAGGGCGACCGGCCACACUGGGACUGAGACACGGCCCAGACUCCUACGGGAGGCAGCAGUGGGGAAUAUUGCACAAUGGGCGAAAGCCUGAUGCAGCGACGCCGCGUGAGGGAUGACGGCCUUCGGGUUGUAAACCUCUUUCAGCAGGGAAGAAGCGAAAGUGACGGUACCUGCAGAAGAAGCACCGGCUAACUACGUGCCAGCAGCCGCCGUAAGAC
rnacentral:rRNA from 1 species